GCCACAACCAGCUGCUUCAGGCAAAUCCAUGCAAAUAAACUUCUGAUUAGGCCCCGCCCUCUUGGGGACAACGGUAAACUCCGCCCACUUGAUCCAAAUCUCAGUGUUGACAUCCAACACACCCACGCAGGCAUGUUGGCCUUGAUGGCUGCCGGCAGCGUCUUCUUCCCAGGAAUUUUCCUGGUUUCCAGACUGACUCUGAGGUUUGUGAUGGGAUGGAGUGAGGCCGACGCCACCGUUGUGUCCGUGCGCGGCGUGUCAUCCGUGCAGGCCGCCAUGGCGUCAGCGGCCGGAUACGUCAUCGCCUCGUCUUGCCUUGACGUCAUGGAGGACAAGCACUGGCUGACCGACGCCUACAUCAGCUUCGCCGCGCCCUACUUCGUCUACGACGUCUUUGCCAUGUUCCUGUGCCAUCGACACAAGCGCCAGCAGCAGGAGGGCGUGCACCUGGCGACCUUCGUACGUCGAGAGGUACUGAUGGUGCUUCAUCACGCCUUCAUGGUGCUCUUCUGCCUGCCCGCCUCCCUGGUGUGGAGGCGGGGCAAGGGUGAUUACUUCCAGGGUCUUCUGCUGCUGGCUGAGCUCAGCACACCGUGUGUGAGUCUGGCUAAAGUUCUGAUGCAGCCGUCAGCUGAAGAAGGAGCACACGCUGCUGUACAAGGUGAACGGCGCGCUGAUGCUGCUGGUCUUCUUCGGCUGCCGGGUGUUGCUCUUCCCCUACCUGUACUUGGCCUACAGCAGGUACGUGUACCUGCCCGUCCAUCAGGUGGUGCUGGAGGCCCCGUGGCAGUGCAAUGUGGGCGUGGCCAUGCUGUGGCCCCUGCAGAUCUAUUGGCUCACGCUCAUGUGUAGGCGGGCGCUACGCCUCCUCACGCGGCGCUCAGACGCCGAUGCCAAGAAGACGGCAUGACCCUCAACCUUUACUCCUCCGCUCAGCCUUUAUUUUGCUUGUCUUCUGAAGAAUCAGAAGACGAGUCAGAGUAACAUACAGAAGAACAAGAAGAAUCAGAAGAGUCAGAAGAACAUACAGAAGAACAAGAAGAAUCAAAAAAACAAGAAGAGUCAAAAAAACAAGAAGAGUCAGAAGCAGAAGACAAAAAGGGGCGGGUAUAUGGGUAUGGGCGGGGUAAGCGGACCUUCUACGAAAGCGUGCAGACCCUGGAUCUCGAUGACCUGCUGGCCCAGCGUGUGGCGACCUGGAGGAAGGCCCAUGGCAGCGAUGGCGUCUGUCACCAACACCAAACCUGCACACACACCAUCAGCGACCGUGGACAAUCGUGACCUCUGACCUUGAGAGCCCACCUGCCGGGUGAGCGCGGUGAGCGAUGCGCAGAGCAGCGGGGUUGGUGUGGAUCCCGUCAGCGAUCAUCCCGUAAAACACGCUCCUUCCCUGCGGGAUCCGGUCGCUGGUCAGCAGGCCCACGAUGCCCGGGUCUCGAUGGUGGAACUGGACCACAUGACAGGAAGUUAGCCUGGGCCAGUGACAAGGUUCAGCGCCAGGGGGCGGGACCUACAGGCAGCAUGGCGUUGAAGAGGUGGGUGAUGAAGGAGGCACCGUGUUGGACCGCCUCCUCCGCUUGGGACAAGUUGGCCACAGAAUGUCCUGCGGGAAUGCGAGCGUGAGAGCGUGCACGUGGCGGCACACGUAAGCGCGAGCGAGUGGGAACGCACCAAGCGACACGGUCACGCCCCUUUGGCAGAGCUCCUUCACCGCCGAUUGGCUGCCCUCCAGCUCGGGAGCUAGCGUCACCAUGGCGACGUCGUCCAGG